GGCUACGGCCAUGCCACCCUGAACAAGCCGGAUCCCCUCUGAUCUCGGAAGCUCAGCAGGGUCAGGCCUGGUUAGUACUUGGAUGGGAGACCAUCUAGGAAAACCAGGUGCUGUAGGCG
rnacentral:rRNA from 1 species